CCCAAACCCCAGGGGACUUGGGGCAGCAGCAGGGCAGAGAACAGACUAUCCUAGGGCAACCGCCUCCCCCUCCUGAAUUUUUCGAUCUUCUUUCUUUCAAUCUCUAAGGGACCAGCAGAGAAUUCACCUGAACAUAGGGAAAAGAGUGACGAGAGGGAGAGAAGCAGAGGGAACGAUAUAGUGAGAACGAGGGUGAGAAGGGAACGACCAGAAUUUCAAUAAAAGAAAAGGAAAAACGUUACAGAGAGGCUACGUGAGUUUGAUGAUGCACUAAAAGAGACGAACGAAAGUACUGUCCUUCAAAUUUUGGUUUUAAAAAUGGAGGUCAUCCGAGGUUGUGUUUGAUUCGAGGUUUCCGGUCUGGGUUCGUGAGCUUGAAGCAACCGUUGAUGUGCACUUGAUUUGGAGCUCUAUUGUUUAAUAUAAAAGGAAGAUUCGUCAAAGGCAAGGGAAUCAGGUGGCAUAUCUUUUGGCGGCGGAAGCUACAAAACGGUCCAUGCAAAAGCAAAUUAAAGCAGAAAAAGUAUUGGCAAAGUAGUACAAAUCAUCUCGCACAAUACAAAUCAUCAGAUACGAGUCGUCCGGAAUCGAAAAAUUGAGGAAAAAGCAU